rnacentral:rRNA from 1 species
UACGUAGGGGGCAAGCGUUAUCCGGAAUUACUGGGUGUAAGGGGAGCGUAGACGGUAAUGUAAGUCUGGAGUGAAAGGCGGGGGCCCAACCCCCGGACUGCUCUGGAAACUAUGUUACUAGAGUGCAGGAGAGGUAAGCGGAAUUCCUAGUGUAGCGGUGAAAUGCGUAGAUAUUAGGAGGAACACCAGUGGCGAAGGCGGCUUACUGGACUGUAACUGACGUUGAGGCUCGAAAUCGUGGGGAGCAAACAGG